rnacentral:rRNA from 1 species
GUAUUCCGCUCCAUAGCGUAUAUUAAAGUUGUUGCCGUUAAAAAGCUCGUAGUUGAAUUUCGGGAUCAAGGAAUCGGUCAUGCCUUGGUAUGUACUGGUUUUAUUGGUUCUCACCUUCUAAAGAACCAUAAUGUCAUUCAUUUGAUGUUAUGGGGAAUUAGGACUGUUACCUUGAAAAAAUUAGAGUGUUUAAAGCAGGCUUACGCUUGAAUACAUUAGCAUGGAAUAAUGAAAUAGGACAUCAGAUUCUAUUUUGUUGGUUUCUAGGAUCGAUGUAAUGAUUAAUAGGGAUAGUUGGGGGCAUUAGUAUUCAAUUGUCAGAGGUGAAAUUCUUGGAUUUAUUGAAGACUAACUACUGCGAAAGCAUUUGCCAAGGAUGUUUUCAUUAAUCAAGAACGAAAGUUAGGGGAUCGAAGACGAUCAGAUACCGUCGUAGUCUUAACCAUAAACUAUGCCGACUAGGGAUCGGAUGAUGUUAAUUUUAUAAUGACUCAUUCGGCACCUUACGGGAAACAA